GCAUUUGUAUAACAUAGCUACGGUGGCCCUGAGGUGCAAAACACAACAGCAAAUCAGAAAACACAACAUUAAAUGUCGUUGUGUUUUCUCUUUUGCCAUUGUGUUUUGCACCUCAGGGCCACUGUACAUAGCAGUACUCAGAUG